GACUAUAAAAGCCAUUGAAGACUAUGUUAGAGGGGAGGUUUUUUUGUUUUUUGGAGGUGUUUUUUUGUUUGUUUGGAAAGAAGGUUGUUUUUGUUUCUUGGAAAGGCUAGUUUUUGGAGAUUAAUUAAAGAUCAAAGCAAAAGAGGUUUCUUUUGUCUAUUCUCAUCUUUAGUUCUUUGUUUGUUUAUUGUUUUCCUUUCAAUUUUAUUUUGUUUUUUUUUAUACGAAAGUAAAAAUAAAAGUAAGAAGCUUACCCAUAUUUUCAUUACCGAAAAAGGUUUUUUUUUUAGGUCCGGCCGCCGUGUACGGUGGCGCCAAUGGCGGCCCGUGGGGGUCCAUGACCGAAGCAAAGCCGGACCAACGGCCGGAUUUAGAAAAGAAGGAGAAAGAGAAUUGAGAGCUUUGUUUUAUUAUUUUAUUAUUUUUACUAUUAUUUAUAUUAUUAUUAUUAUUUCUCAUGUAUAUAUUAUUAUUUAUAUUAUUAUUAUAUUAUAUAUGCCCUCUCCAUAUUUAUUUAUAUUAUUACUAUCAUUAUUGUUACUUUUAUUAUUUUUUAUUUCUAACUACUAUUAUUAUAUAUAUAUGUAUUAUUGUUUGUAUUAUUAUUAUUAUUAUCACCCCUAUUGUUAUUACUUUACUUUUGUAUUCUAAUAUAUUAUUAAUAUUACUCAUAUUUUCAUUAUUUUUGCUAUCACUAUUAUUAUUAUAUAUUAGUGUAUAUUUUUAUGUAUAUACAUAUAUAUAUUUAUAUAUAGUAUUGUUUUUUAUUACUUUAAUUUAAUAUUUUUAUUAUAUUUGCUUUUUGUAUUUCUAUAUUUAUUAUUAUAUAGUAGUGUGUAUUUCUAUUAUAUACAUAUAUAUAUAUUUAUAUAUAGUAUUAUUGUUCACUUUACUUUAAUAUUAUUCUUAUUAUCAUUAUAUCCAACCCAAUAAUAAUUCUUUCAUAAAAGUAAUAUUCCGUAUUUGGUAAUUCGAGACAAUCGUGCCCUAACUUAUUGGGUUUCGAUUUUUCUCCUUUAACCUAAAUAACGGAAUACUCUUUUAAAUCGCGACAUGAGUUUUGAAAAAUGCUUAUUCUCGGAGAUACAAGGUGUUGUGCCCUAACUUACUGGGUAUGGCAUUUUGUUACCUCGAAAUAAGAUUUUUGCAAGUAAAGGCAAUAUUCGGUGUUUGGGAAUUCGAGGAAACGUGCCCUAACUUACUGGGUUUCGAUUUUCCUCGUUCACCUUAACUAACUGAAUAACCUUUUGAAAUACAUGAAUUUUUAUAUAAAAGGCAAGCUCGCUCUCGAAAAUUCAAGAUGUCGUGUCCUAACUUACUGGAUGUGACAUUUUAUAUUGUGAGACGAGAAGGUCCUUAACAUUUGAGCAUUUUCUUUACAAAGAGGGAUCGUAUUUUAAAUUCUUUCAAGUUUUCAAAUUUUCGACACUAAGACACUAAUUAAUCAACUAGGUACCAAUUUUGGGCGUAUCGAGGGUACUAAUCCUUCCUCGUGCGUAACCGACUCCCGAACUCAUUUUCUGAUUUUCGUAGACCAAAAAUUAUCGUUUUAGUAAAUCUUAACUUUUAUUAAAAUGAUUAACUUAAGGUGAUCCGAUCACACCUAAAAAAAUUGGUGGCGACUCCUGUUUUCGUUUUUUUUUCUCCAAGUCGAUACCCGUUUUUUUUUUUAAAAAUGGUUACGACAGCUUGGCGACUCCACUGGGGACUUUUAUAAGAGAGUCAAGCCACAAGUUGAUUAACUUUUGUCUUUUUUCGAAAAUUGAAAAUUUGGUUUUGAUAUACGAUCACUUCAUUGCGUUUCACCCGUUUUUCGUACUGUUUUCAUCAUUUUAUUCCUAUUUUCUUUAAUCGUUUCAAGUUUUUAUGCAUAUAUCUUCUCGCAUUGCAUUGCAUGACCAUUGUGGUCACACCCUUAAGUGGGAGUGAGAAACUACGCCUUCGUGAGGUUUUCACCUCCGUGCAGGAUAGUGGAUCACUUUCGGAAUACAUCCGUACCUAUGGUUUCGUGAGAUUUUCAUCUCCGUGUAGCCAUAGGGAAAUGUAUUCUCCUAAAUUGAACUCGAUUCAAAUGAGCCUAUAAUGGGUGAGGAUCGAGGAAUCUGUUGGUUCAGAUACCCUUACUCUAGAACCAAACCACAUAUAGAGAGACCUAGGAGCCCACCCUAGGUAGAGCCACUCCGAACCCCUAGUGGUCACCCGAAUUGCUUUAUUUGUUAUUUAUUUAUCUUGCACUAACGUGUUUUAUUUUUGUUUUGUUUAUAAUUGCAUUACAUUACAUCAUCCUAGGAAGGAGGUGUUGAUUCAUAUUUGAUUGCUAAAUAGAACAGUUUGUCAUAAGAAAAAGAAUUUUUUGAUAAAGUGGAUUAUAAUACGGUUGUCUAAAUAUGAUCCAAGUGAACACAUGAAAGAAGACUGAUAGCCCGUGAAGAAAUACAAGACUUUGCUUCAUUGCCUGAAGACAGAAACUGACAAAGAUUAUUCGAGAGCCGUCAUAUCUUGACCUUCUUAAAGGAGCUGACAAGUAUCACAGUAAUAAGUGAGCAAUGAGUCGCAGCCUGGAUCGAGCAAAAAAGGAGUUAAUAUAGACAUCUCUUGGAGAAUUCGUCAGACUCGACCACAAGAUCCGGAUAUGAAGAGGAAGAUAGGUGUCUUCACUUGGAAUACAAGAGAAAAGCCGUAUAUGUAGUCCGUUUUAUGUAAAAGAAUUUGCCUUCUAGAAAAGUUGUUCUAAUGAAAUUAAAUUUAGAAUCAAUGCCUUCCUUUUUUUUUUGCGUUCAUGCAUUUGCAUUACAUUACAUCAAAAAAGAAUGUGUUGAUUCGAAAUUCAAUUCCUAAAUAGAAUAGUUUGUCAUAAGGAAACGAAUUUCUUGAUAAAGUAGAUUAUAGUGCGAUCGCCUGAAUAUAGUCCAAGUAAACACGAUGAGAGAAAGCUGGUAGUUCACGGAGGAAUACAUAAUGUAAUUGCCAGAGAUUCAAGCCAACAAAGGCAUGACGAGAGAAAGCCGGAAGUCCACGAAGGAAUACAUGACUUGAUUUAAUUGCCAACGAAGAUUAUUCAAGAGCCGGCACUUUUGAUGAGUAUCAUGGAGAUAAGUGAGCAAGAGAUCGAGGCUCAGAUUAAGCAGCAAGGAACUAGUAAAGGCAUCUUUUAGAGAAUUUACAAGAUUCGACCAUGAAGAAAAGAUCAGCGUUUACUUGGGAUAUGAAGGGCAAUACCGCAUAUGUAAUCUAUUUUCAUGUAAAGAAAUAUGUUUUCUAGAAAAGUUAUUCUAAUGGAAUUGAAUUCAAGAUCAACAUCUUCCUUUCUUUUACAUUCAUUCCAUACAUUUGCAUUACAUUGCAACAUUUGCAUUAAACUUUCAUUAAAGAACCCUGAUUAAACAAAAUUAUUUCAGUUAAUCUGGAAACCAACGAGAAUCAAGCAACCGACUUUCAUUAAAGAACCCUGAUUAAACAAAAUUAUUUCAGUUAAUCUGGAAACCAACGAGAAUCAAGCAACCGAACACAGCCACUAUACCCGCCGUAAAACCAAAGCAAUAGACCAGAUAUUAGAAAGGAUAGAACAAAUGCAAAGGGAGAUGCAAGAACAAUUACAAGAGCAGAUGCAAGAGCAACUGGCUAAGAUACAGCAAGAUAUGAGGGACCAUAUGUUGGAGUCCCAGAAAAGCAUGAUGGAUCAAUUAACUCGUCUAUUGGCUGGCGGAUUAGAAAAGGGGAAAAGCCCUUUGAUCAAUGCGAGAGAAGAUAAUGAAGAUCCUACCUACCCUCCGGGUUUUACCCCACCUCAUGUGCCCCUGCAAACCGAGGCACCUCCUAGAAGGCCAUCUGUCACAGUAAGGUCUCAACAUGGGCCAGUGGAUGCUGGAAUCCCCAUAAAUUUCCCAUCUGGGUUGGGAAAUAAUUUGGGUGAUAGCUCGGUCAACCCUAUUACUCCUGAUCUGGAUUUAAUGGAGAAUGAAAGAAUGGCCACUGAAUCCUUGAAACAAUUAGAAGAUCGUUGCAGGUGGUUAGAGAAGAAGUUUAGGGUUUUAGAAGGCGCUGGCAAUCAUCAGGGGAUCGAUGCUAAAGACUUAAGUUAGGUUCCAGAUUUGGUGGUUCCUCAUAAAUUUAAGAUGCCAGAGUUUGAAAAGUACAACGGGACUACUUGCCCAGAGGCGCACAUAACAAUGUUUUGUAGAAAAAUGACUGGCUAUGUGAACAACGAUCAACUAUUGAUCCAUUGUUUUCAAGACAGCCUAAUUGGAGCAGCGGCUAGGUGGUACAAUCAGUUGAACCGUGCAAAGAUCGGUUCAUGGAGAGAUCUUGCACAGGCUUUCAUGCAACAGUAUAACCAUGUGACUGAUAUGACGCCAGAUAGGAUCACACUACAAAACAUGGAAAAGAAGCCGAAUGAGAGUUUCAGGCAGUAUGCACAACGGUGGAGGGAAAUAGCGAUGCAAGUCCAGCCACUUCUUUUGGAGAAGGAAACGACCAUGCUCUUCAUUAAUACUUUGAAGGCCCCAUUCAUCACCCAUAUGAUUGGGAAUACUACCAAAAGUUUUUCUGAUAUGGUAAUGGCAGGCGAGAUGAUUGAGAAUGCCAUAAGAGGUGGCAAGAUUGAAGUUGGAGAAACUACCAAGAGGUCAGUUCCAAAGAAAAAGGAGAAUGAAGUGAACAGUAUGAGCUCAUACAAUAGAGAUCACUCAAGGUCAAUAACUGUCAAUUAACCAAAGGUGACUGCGAGGGGGCAACAAGGUUCGACAAAGCAGGAAUCAAGUGUAAGGCAAAAUUUUGAAAAGCUCCAAUUUACGCCAAUCCCAAUGUCAUAUAAGGAGUUAUAUCAAAGUUUAUUUGAUUCACACGUGGUGUCCCCAUAUUAUAUAAAUCUGUUGCAACCCCCAUACCCCAAAUGGUAUGAUUCAAACGCUCAAUGUGAUUAUCAUGUGGGAGUAUCGGGGCAUUCAAUAGAAAACUGUACUGCCUUCAAGAAGACGGUUGAAAGACUCCUCGAGAUGGGGAUUGUGAAGUUUGAUGAUACCCCUAGUACAAAGAGUCCGUUACCAAAUCACGAUGAUAAGAGCAAAUGAUUAAAGGACUCUGUCAAAGAUGGAAAAAUAAGAAGAGGAUUAGUAGCAUCGGAUCCUGAGUAGAGAAACUUGUGAGGCAUUCGUCCUUACAAACCUGGAAAUGUUUUGAAUGAUUAGUCUGUAGAGGAACCUCUUGUAGUUUUUAGAGCUAAUCUAGAGUAAUAUUCAAAACAUGCUUGUUGCUUUAAGCCUGGAAGCAAUUAAACCCCUUUUGUGAAAUAGGCUUGUAUUCUAAGUCUUUAUUUCAAUAAAAUGCAUCUUUUUGAGAAAAUAUUCUUUGAUUUCAUCUCAUACGGUACAAAUAAUUAUUCUUAGAUUCUUUUUUUCUUUAGAAUUUAUUUCAAAUAUUCAUUUAUUCUUCAUUCAUGAUCAUAAUCAUCCUUAAAAUCAUUUAUUUCUUUGGAAUCUGCCUUCAGCGGGUCCCUAGAUAUCAAUGAUAUGAGUAACGCUGUCAUUGACUCCGAGUCUCCUUUUGAGCGAAAUAUGGGCCUAAAGGGAUCUCAACACUCUGAAGAUGAUAGAGAUGUAGACUACUCUCUAAUUUGUUAAUGAUGGUAGAGUAAGAUGAAAACAGAUCCUCUUUUACAAAAAGACAGUAGACAGUAGGCCUAGGACAAGAGAAAGAGGCAAAUAUCGGAGUCUGCAUUACCACAAAGGCAAAGCGAGACAUCAUUGAGUCACUUCCUAGAAUUUAAAGAUUUUUUGCACGAUCAUAUCAAGAUACGCCUGGCUACUAAGACAGGAGGAUGUUGCAGGGUUUUGAAUGACAUAUGCUAAUGGUUUCACGAUGGCCAGGCUAAUCAUGAGAUUUGGGUUCUGCUGGCCCACCAUAGAAAGGGAUUGCAUCAGUAUGCUGUAAAUGCCAAAUUUAUAGAGAGAAAAUUCAUGUGCCCCUUCAUGUGGGGCAUGGAGGUUAUGAGCCGGUCUCUUUGAAAGCUUCUACCAAUACCGAUUCGCCUUUGGGGUCAUCGUUUACCCCGAGAAAAGGAUAAAAGUUGUUUCAUAUGCCAAUGUCACUAGGUCGACAGUCAUCAAAUUUCAAAAAAAUUGGUGCCAAUAAAGAGUGCCAGAAAAUCAUGUCUAACACAGCUGUACAAUGUCAAAAGGUCACAGUCUGUUUAAAGAUUAGGAGUUAUAUGGAAAAGGCAAAGGCAAAGGCAAAGGCAAAAAAAAAUAAAAAAACACGAAAACACAAAAAAAGCAAAAAAAUUCUAAAAAAAAGAAGCGGAAAAAAAAGAGAAGCCAGGGCGAAACCCCGCAAAUGGAGCCUUGAGACUAAAAGGGAUUCGAGUUGAAAACCCGAAAAGGGCAGCUCAAAUUUGGAUCAAAGUGGGGCAUACAUUAGUCUUGCUAUGCCUGAAUUAACAAUGAAGAAGUAUGCUACGUCUUGGGGCAUCGACAAAGUACUCCGGAUCCCCUAAACACAUAUUAAACUCAGAAAGGUCCUCAAUAAGUUGGUACAGAGAAGCUCAGGCUGCGAUAUCUGGGGCAUCUAUCUUCCAUUUUGCCCAUUUUGAAUUUGUUAUCUUUGAUUCUUCUCAAGAUAUGUCCAAAUAAAUUUUCUUCUUAUUGCAUUGCUAUCUUUGAUUAAAUCAUUCGUUUUGAGUUGAUUUCAUUCUUAUUGCAUUUGCAAUCUUUGAUUAAUUUAUCCAUUUCGAGCUAUGCUCAUAAUCAAUUUCCUUCUUGUUAAUUGUUUUGAUCUUUUUCAAGCAUUUUGCAUUGAAAUAAUGAUUAAUGGACUAAUAACACUUUCACAAAAGAAGUUUUGCUUAUUACUCUAGAAGUUUCUAAAUAAUACAAGAACCUGAAACAGGAUUAUUGUUUAGAACUCGCCAAGCCUAAGGGUUGGAAAUAUUAUCUCUUUGGACUCUUUAUUAGUUGAACCAAAAGACAAGACAUUUCGUCAGUGAUAUAACCUCGACAAAUGACAAGUAAUGUCAACCUAAGUGUAAAAGAAGGUCAUUCUCGAGAAAAGAAAUGAUACUUUGCAUUCAUAUACAUCUGGUCAUUACAUCCAGGGAAUAGUGUAACAGAUCAAACUGAUUGAAGAUGAUACAAAUCCUAUGCCUUUGAGUUGCAGCGGAAUAGAUGGAAGAAACCAAAUGUUAUUCCUCUGAAAUUACAAUAGGAGGCACAAACUUUAUGUCCCAAAAGGUACAGUGAAAGAGACUCUGAAAUUACAGCAGGGCGAGCUUGCUGAGCAAAAUGUGAUUGUUUCCUUGACUUUUCUGUCAAGAAUACUAGCCGAACAAGAUGCCAGCGUAAUACGUCAGCGAUAAUGUCCUAAUGAACAACGAACGAUGAUACCUUAAGCCUUUUUAAAAAAAAAGGCUCAUAACAUUUCUACAGUAACGCAUCUAGUUAGGAGCAUUUGAUUCAUUUCAUAACAUCCUAAUUAUUUGACAUAAAGCAUCACAUUUAGUUAGGAGCAUUUGAUUCAUUUCGAUCAUAGCAUCCUAAUCAUUUGACAUAAGCAUAGAUACAUGGAACUGAUUCUACAGGUGAUGUCCCUAGAAUCAGUAAAUUCACAAGCCUUAAACCCCUAAGCAGUAGGGUAACAGGCUGAAUUUAUAGAUCUUAACCCCUUAAGCAGUUGGGAAAUAGAUCGAAGAUGAUGGGCCUUAAACCCCUAAGUAGUAGGGUAACAGGUUGGAAAUUACAAAUUUUUUUUCCCUGAAAUGACAUUGGAGCGGCUAAAAGCCACAGCAGAUCUCCUUGAAGUUUCAGAGGAUUUUUUCUUCCUGAAAUGGCAUUGGAGCGGCUAAAAGCCACAACAGAUCUCCUUGAAGUUUCAGCAAACCUCUUCUUCCAAAAAUGGCAUUGGAGCGACUAAAAGCCACAGCAGAUCUCCUUGAAGUUCCAGUGGAAGAAGAUCAAAACAAGUCUUAUCUCCCUGAAGUUACAGAGGAACAGACUGAAGAUAGCAGAUCUGACAUUUCUGUGCUUACAGUGAAGCAGAUCGAAGAUUUCAGCAUGGCAUCCCUGUGCUUAUAGGGAACAAGUUGAAAACAGCAGAUUUGGCAUCCCUGUGCUUAUAGGGAACAAGUUGAAGACAGCAGAUUUGACAUCCUUGUGCUUAUAGGGAACAGAUCGAAGAUAGCAGAUCUGACAUUCCUGUGCUUACAGUGAAGCAGAUCGAAGAUUUCAACAUGGCAUCCCUGUGCUUAUAGGGAACAAGUUGAAAACAGCAGAUUUGGCAUCCCUGUGCUUAUAGGGAACAGAUCGAAGAUAGCAGAUCUGACAUUCCUGUGCUUACGAUGAAGCAGAUCGAAGAUUUCAGCAUGGAAUCCCUGUGCUUAUAGGGAACAAGUUGAAGAUAGCAGAUUUGGCAUCCCUGUGCUUAUAGGGAACAAGUUGAAAAUAGCAGAUUUGGCAUCCCUGUACUUAUAGGGAAUAGAUCGAAGAUAGCAGAUCUGACAUUCCUGUGCUUACGGUGAAGCAGAUCGAAGAUUUCAGCAUGGAAUCCCUGUGCUUAUAGGGAACGAAUCGAAGAUAGCAGAUCUGACAUUCCUGUACUUACGGUGAAGCAGAUCGAAGAUUUCAGCAUGGAAUCCCUGUGCUUAUAGGGAACGGAUCGAAGAUAGCAGAUCUGACAUUCCUGUGCUUACGGUGAAGCAGAUCGAAGAUUUCAGCAUGGAAUCCCUGUGCUUAUAGGGAACAAGUUGAAGAUAGCAGAUUUGGCAUCCCUGUGUUUAUAGGGAACCAGUUGAAGACAUCAGAUUUGGCAUCCCUGUGUUUAUGGGGAACAAAUCGAAGAAGCAGAUCAAGAACUCAAGACUAGGCGAGACCGGGCAAAUUUGGUCCUUUUUAUAGUCUUUGCUCCAUUCUCGUUACACGACAAUGAGCAAAGAGGGGCAGCUGUAAGGCCCAAAUUUUGCCCGGGGCCCAAUAAAACCAAACCCAAAUUAAACCUAGCCCAUUACCCAGUUACAAGCCCAAACCCAAUUUUGGCCCAACCUAAUCCCAUUAUACUAGCCCAACCCAAACACAAAAUAAAUAAAUAAAUAAAUAAAUAACCUUGGCCACCUACUCCACCACCCUUUUUGGCCACCCACCUUGGCCACCUACUCCACCACCCUUGUUGGCCACCCACCUUGGCCACCUAAACGACCCCAACCACUCCACUUGCUUACAAAAAAUUUAUUUGUAAAAUUUGGCUAUAAAAGCCAUUGAAGACUAUGUUAGAGGGGAGGUUUUUUUUGUUUUUUGGAGGUGUUUUUUUGUUUUUUUGGAAAGAAGGUUGUUUUUGUUUCUUGGAAAGGCUAGUUUUUGGAGAUUAAUCAAAGAUCAAAGCAAAAGAGGUUUCUUUUGUCUAUUCUCAUCUUUAGUUCUUUGUUUGUUUAUUGUUUUCCUUUCAAUUUUAUUUUGUUUUUUUAUACGAAAGUAAAAAUAAAAGUAAGAAGCUUACCCAUAUUUUCAUUACCGAAAAAGGUUUUUUUUAUGUCCGG
rnacentral:lncRNA from 1 species